rnacentral:misc_RNA from 1 species
GAUGAAGAACGCAGCGAAAUGCGAUAAGUAAUGUGAAUUGCAGAAUUCAGUGAAUCAUCGAAUCUUUGAACGCACCUUGCGCCCUUUGGCCAUUCCGAAGGGCAUGCCUGUUUGAGUAUCAUGAACACCUCAACUCUUCAUGGUUUUCCAUGAUGAGCUUGGACUUUGGGGGUCUUGCUGGCCUGUGGGUCGGCUCCUCUCAAAUGAAUCAGCUUGCCGGUUUUUGGUGGGCAUCACAGGUGUGAUAACUAUCUACACUUGUGGUUUUCCACCAGGGUAACCUUCAGCAGUGGAGGUUCACUGGAGCUUACAAAUGUCUCUCCUCCAUGAGGACAGCCCUUUGAAUGUUUGAUCUCAAAUCAGGUAGGACUACCCGCUGAACUUAAGCAUAUCAAUAAGCGGAGGA